CCACCCCUCUGAUUAAAGCACAAUAUCAGACUGUCUGUUAGUCAGGACUGUCAAACCAACAUCACUGUUCCUUCAGUUCUCACUCAUUCACAGUAAAGAUGACAGCACACGCUCUCAUUAUCUGCUCUCUUCUGCUUUUCACUGCUGAGUGUGAUGGACAGAUCACAGUCACUCAGAGUCCCUCAAUAACAGCAGCUCAACCAGGACAAGAACUUAAAAUAAACUGUAAAACCAGCAGUAGAGUGUAUGGUGGUGUUAGUUUAGCCUGGUACUUACAGAAAUCUGGAGAAGCUCCUAAACUCCUCAUUUAUCUGGCCAACAGAGUGCAGUCUGGAACUCCAUCUAGAUUCAGUGGCAGUGGAUCUGAUAGUGAUUUCACUCUGACCAUCAGUGGAGUCCAGACUGAAGAUGCAGGACAUUAUUACUGUCAGAGUGUACACGAGGUCAGUGGCAGCUAUGUGUUCACACAGUGAUAAAGAGUCGUACAAAAACCUCUGUCAGUCACACUGCACUGAUACACUGACAGAUA